AGCAGCCGCGGUAAUUCCAGCUCCAAUAGCGUAUAUUAAAGUUGUUGCAGUUAAAAAGCUCGUAGUUGAAUUUCGGGAUUGACGUGAUGGUCAUACCUUAAGGGGUAUGAACUGUCGCUGUUGAUUUCUCACCUUCUGGAGAAACUUGAUGUCCUUAAUUGGGUGUCUUGCGGAUCCAGGACCUUUACCUUGAAAAAAUUAGAGUGUUUAAAGCAGGCAUUUUUGCUCGAAUACAUUAGCAUGGAAUAAUAGAAUAGGACGGCAUGGUUCUAUUUUGUUGGUUUCUAGGAUCACCGUAAUGAUUAAUAGGGAUAGUUGGGGGCAUUAGUAUUCAAUUGUCAGAGGUGAAAUUCUUGGAUUUAUUGAAGACUAACUACUGCGAAAGCAUUUGCCAAGGAUGUUUUCAUUAAUCAAGAACGAAAGUUAGGGGAUCGAAGACGAUCAGAUACCGUCGUAGUCUUAACCAUAAACUAUGCCGACUAGGAAUCAGACGAUGUUAAUUUUUUAAUGACUCGUUUGGCACCUUACG
rnacentral:rRNA from 1 species